rnacentral:rRNA from 1 species
UACGGAGGGUGCAAGCGUUAUCCGGAUUCACUGGGUUUAAAGGGUGUGUAGGCGGAUAUUUAAGUCAGUGGUGAAAUCUCCAGGCUCAACCUGGAAACUGCCAUUGAUACUAUUUAUCUUGAAUUCUGUUGAGGUGGGCGGAAUACAUCAUGUAGCGGUGAAAUGCUUAGAUAUGAUGUAGAACACCGAUUGCGAAGGCAGCUCACUAAGCAGACAUUGACGCUGAGGCACGAAAGCGUGGGGAUCAAACGGG